CAAUAGCGUAUAUUAAAGUUGCUGCAGUUAAAAGCUCGUAGUUGAAUUUCUGAAGGUGCUCUCGGCUUGGACCGUGUGUCCAAAUACCGAUUGCUUCUUCAUCCAUCUGUUAACUUCUCUUGGUCUUCACUGACUGGAUUAGAGCUCAGAUACUUUACCUUGAGGAAAUUAGAGUGUUUAAAGCAAGCUAGUGCUAGAAUACAUUAGCAUGGAAUAAUAGAAUUAGGGCUUCGUCUCGAUUCGUUGGUUUACGAGCGAAGUAAUGGUUAAUAGGGAUAGUUGGGGGCAUUAGUACUUCAUUGUCAGAGGUGAAAUUCUUUAAUUUGUGAAAGACUAACUUAUGCGAAAGCAUUUGCCAAGAAUGUUUUCAUUAAUCAAGAACGAAAGUUAGGGGAUCAAAGACGAUCAGAUACCGU
rnacentral:rRNA from 1 species